GGCCCGGCCGGCAGCCCGCCGGAACCCGUCUGGGUCCCCAACUCUCCUGCCCCUCCCCGCGCCGUUCCAGGGCGGAGUCUGUGGAGUUGAAACCAGGACACGGCGAGAGGAAGAGUUAUAUAACCGGGAGAAGCCGGGAAGGACGCGCGGAGAGCAGGGCGCGCGGCCCGAGGGGAGCCCCGGGAGCUCGCAGAGCGCGAGAGCAAGCGCGGAAGGAACGUUAGGGGUGGGAGGAUUUCGGGGUGCACCAAGGAGGAAGCCGCGCGGAUGAGGGGCGGCAGGCCCGGCGGGAGUCACCCGGGCCGCCCGGGGCUUCCCUGCAGCGUCCUCCCCGUCGCCCACGGCCGCCGAGCCCGAGUGCGAACAGCCGGGGAAGGGGCGCCGAUACCCGGUCCGCUCCUCCUGAGGAGGCAACUGGAGCCCAAGCCCGGGAAAGGCGGCGGCGGAGCAGAAGGGGCCGGAAACCACAGCUCCGCCCAGCCCACCUGGGAGAGUGGGGCGCCAGCUAGGGUGCGGUGGGAAACAGGCCUGAAGUGGAUCGUGGGCAUGAGGCAGACAAGCUGCAUGGGCUCUGCCUCCACCAAGCAGGAGUUCUUCCUAUCCCAGCCGGCACCCUCCAGGGCAGCCCUGGUGGCUCAGUGGUUUAGCGCUGCCUUCCACCCAGGGCGUGAUCCUGGAGACCUGGGAUGGAGUCCCACAUGGGGCUCCCUGCAUGGAGCCUGCUUCUCCCUCUGCCUGUGUCUCUGCCUCUCUCUCUCUCUCUCUCUCUCUCUCUCUCUCUGAGUGUGUGUCUCUCAUGAAUAAAUAAAUAAAAUCUUA